rnacentral:lncRNA from 1 species
UUGGUGGGGGCCGUUGUUCUGAGCUGGUCCAGGCUUGCUGAUACAGACACUGGACACCGGACACCGGUGGGGGCCAUUGAGGUGGGGUCAGUCCCUAGGGCGGGUUGCCUGCCCUGGCUGAACUGGAUUAAAUCUGUGCUCUAGUGGGUGUGGCAGACCCCUGGGCUAACAGCCCAAGGGAUGCACCUCAAUGGCCCCCACCAGUGUCUGUAUCAGCAUGCCUGGACCAGCUCAGAAUAACGGCCCCCACAAAUGUCUCAGCCUCCAGAGAGGUCCCUCCUCUCACCAAGAUGCCCCCAGAGCCCACCAGUGAAGAUGUCAGGACCCUAGAAUGUUGGAGAGAAAUUGGCAGCAAUUAAUUCCCAGAAGCAAAGGGAAGUUGAUGACCAUAAUCGAUGUCAAGGAUCAUUAUGGGAAUUAUAUGAAGUUAUUAAGUGUAAAGAUCUCCGACAAGUGCCUGGAAUAGUAUCUGCGGCAUCACCAUUGGAAGAAGAGAAAUAAAUGAAAAGCAAACUAUAUUUAGUUCAUUUGUUAGUGUGGUGGUUUUUGUUUGCUUAAAAUAUGCCCAAACUCAUAGACAACUUUGUGCUGUUACUAUGAUAUAGUAUUCAACUGCUAACAACUCAUAUACACAUACACAGUCACACACAGACACGCACACACACGUUCAUCAUUCUUCUGAUUGAAUCUUAGGAAAAACCAGCCAAAAAUGUAAUAGCCUUAUUAUUUAGGACUAUCCUUGUCUCCAGUAAACAAGCCAUGGGCAUAGAGAGACAGAGCACAAUAAGAAGACCAAGUUUUGGACUGUGCGGUAUAUCUUUUGGUUGCUUAAAUCAUGCUUUGAAAU